rnacentral:pre_miRNA from 1 species
UGUGCACCAGUGGGGUCCCUCGGCCUGGCCUGUGCCCUCUCGCAAUCCAGGACCCCUCAGGAGAUGUCGGAGAGCCAGUUUCGACCAGAUCCUGCAGGCCAGGCUGAGGGACCCCACUGGUGCAUG